UACGUAGGGUGCGAGCGUUAAUCGGAAUUACUGGGCGUAAAGCGUGCGCAGGCGGUUUUGUAAGCCAGAUGUGAAAUCCCCGGGCUUAACCUGGGAAUGGCAUUUGGGACUGCAAGGCUGGAGUGUGGCAGAGGAAACUGGAAUUCCUGGUGUAGCAGUGAAAUGCGUAGAUAUCAGGAGGAAUACCGAUGGCGAAGGCAGGUCUCUGGGCUAACACUGACGCUCAUGCACGAAAGCGUGGGGAGCAAACAGG
rnacentral:rRNA from 1 species